rnacentral:rRNA from 2 species
AGAUGCGAUCAUACCAGCACAAAACCACCGGAUUCCAUCAGAACUCUGAAGUUAAGCAUGCUUGGGUGAGAGUAGUACUAGGAUGGGUGACCUCAUGGGAAAUCCUCGUGUUGCAUUCC